rnacentral:rRNA from 1 species
CUGCGGAAGGAUCAUUACCCGAGGGAGCGGGCAACCGCAAAUCUCCACCCGUGAAUACUGAUCACUGUUGCUUUAGCGGGCGGCUGGCCUGGCCAGCCUGGCUCCGGCUGGUCCAUGCCCGCUAGAGGCCCCCCAACUCUGGAUGUGAGUGUUGUCUGAGUGUGGUUAAAUCAUGAAAACUUUCAACAACGGAUCUCUUGGUUCCGGCAUCGAUGAAGAACGCAGCGAAAUGCGAUAAGUAAUAUGAAUUGCAGAAUUCAGUGAAUUAUCGAAUCUUUGAACGCACAUUGCGCCCCGUGGUAUUCCGCGGGGCAUGCCUGUUCGAGCGUCAUUAUAACCACUCCAGCCGGGCUGGGUCUUGGGCGCUGCCUCCGGGCGGGCCUUGAAUGCCGUGGCGGUGCGGCCAGGCCCUGAGCGUAGUACGUCUCUCGCUAUAGGGUCCUGGGCGUGGCCGGCCAGGAACCCCCCAUAGAUUCCAGGUUGACCUCGGAUCAGGUAGGGGAUACCCGCUGAACUUAAGCAUAUC